UACAGAGGGUGCGAGCGUUAAUCGGAAUUACUGGGCGUAAAGCGCGCGUAGGCGGCAUUGCAAGUCGGGUGUGAAAGCCCCGGGCUCAACCUGGGAAUUGCAUUCGAUACUGGAUGGCUAGAGUUCGGCAGAGGGAAGUGGAAUUUCCGGUGUAGCGGUGAAAUGCGUAGAUAUCGGAAGGAACAUCAGUGGCGAAAGCGACUUCCUGGCCUGUUCUUGACGCUGAGGCGCGAAAGCUAGGGUAGCAAACGGG
rnacentral:rRNA from 1 species